rnacentral:rRNA from 1 species
UAGGGAAUAUUGCGCAAUGGAGGAAACUCUGACGCAGCGACGCCGCGUGGGUGAUGAAGGCCUUCGGGUCGUAAAGCCCUGUCGGAAGAGAAGAAACGCACUCUGGCUAAUAUCCAGAGUGUUUGACGGUACCUUCAAAGGAAGCACCGGCUAACUACGUGCCAGCAGCCGCGGUAAUACGUAGGGUGCUAGCGUUGUUCGGAAUCAUUGGGCGUAAAGCGCGUGUAGGCGGUUUGUUAAGUCGGAUGUGAAAUCCCUGGGCUCAACCGAGGAAGGGCAUUCGAAACUAACUGGCUGGAAGAUGGUAGAGGAAGGUGGAAUUCCUAGUGUAGAGGUGAAAUUCGUAGAUAUUAGGAGGAAUACCGGUGGCGAAGGCGGCCUUCUGGACCAUUCUUGACGCUGAGACGCGAAAGCGUGGGUAGCAAACAGG